rnacentral:rRNA from 1 species
AUGGAAUAGGCUUGUUGUUGGGGUAACGGCUCACCAAAGGCGACGAUCCCUAGCUGGUCUGAGAGGAUGACCAGCCACACUGGAACUGAGACACGGUCCAGACUCCUACGGGAGGCAGCAGUGGGGAAUAUUGCACAAUGGGCGCAAGCCUGAUGCAGCCAUGCCGCGUGUAUGAAGAAGGCCUUCGGGUUGUAAAGUACUUUCAGCGGGGAGGAAGGGAGUAAAGUUAAUACCUUUGCUCAUUGACGUUACCCGCAGAAGAAGCACCGGCUAACUCCGUGCCAGCAGCCGCGGUAAUACGGAGGGUGCAAGCGUUAAUCGGAAUUACUGGGCGUAAAGCGCACGCAGGCGGUUUGUUAAGUCAGAUGUGAAAUCCCCGGGCUCAACCUGGGAACUGCAUCUGAUACUGGCAAGCUUGAGUCUCGUAGAGGGGGGUAGAAUUCCAGGUGUAGCGGUGAAAUGCGUAGAGAUCUGGAGGAAUACCGGUGGCGAAGGCGGCCUCCUGG